GACUGAGUGGUUUAGUGGUAAAAUUAGGUAAGCAUUGUCUACUCAACUAACUAUCUGGUCAUCAAAUUGCUAACGUAUACAAGCCGUUGCCAAAAAGCACAAUCGGCUAGCCCCGGGUUCGAUUCCCGGCUCAGUCA